GCCUGAAGCUAUCUCAGCUCAGGCUGUGAUCUCAUCUGAUUGCAAAAACUAAGCAGGGUUAGGCCUGGUCAGUACUUAGCUGGGAGACCUCAAGGGGAAAAAGAGGUGCUGUAAGAA
ensembl:rRNA 5S_rRNA 5S ribosomal RNA